UUGGAGGGCAAGUCUGGUGCCAGCAGCCGCGGUAAUUCCAGCUCCAAUAGCGUAUAUUAAAGUUGUUGCAGUUAAAAAGCUCGUAGUUGAAUUUCGGGAUUGACACAUCGGUCGUGCCUUAAGGGGUAUGAACUGGUGUAGUCAAUUUCUCACCUUCUGGAGAACCGCGAUGCCCUUAAUUGGGUGUCACGGGGAACCAGGACCUUUACUUUGAAAAAAUUAGAGUGUUUAAAGCAGGCAUUUUGCUUGAACACAUUAGCAUGGAAUAAUAAAAUAGGACGGCAUGAUUCUAUUUUGUUGGUUUCUAGGAUCACCGUAAUGAUUAAUAGGGAUAGUUGGGGGCAUUAGUAUUCAAUUGUCAGAGGUGAAAUUCUUGGAUUUAUUGAAGACUAACUACUGCGAAAGCAUUUGCCAAGGAUGUUUUCAUUAAUCAAGAACGAAAGUUAGGGGAUCGAAGACGAUCAGAUACCGUCGUAGUCUUAACCAUAAACUAUGCCGACUAGGAAUCAGACGAUGUUAAUUUUUUAAUGACUCGUUCGGCGCCUUACGGGAAAC
rnacentral:rRNA from 1 species